ensembl:lncRNA
ACACCCUUCCCGGCCGGCCAGCAUCUGUAGUGGGCGAGGAUGAGGAACCAGGUGAAGUGGAUGUCUUCUCAUUAGCCCAUCCCAAUCCCCAGCCCGAAGAGGCAGAAACCAUCCCGGGUUUGAGUCUUGUCUUGAGCACCCUGAGGCCAGGACACAGGUUGAGUUGGUUUUGUUUUGACAUGUUGGUUCAAAAUAAGAUCACCCCUUUGGAAAAUCACCUUGCUAAAGCCAUUGACUCCACUUCGACUUGAGGGGUUUAAUUGAAAACAGGAGAGGCACGCUGACACCCCACAGGCCUCCAGCCUGAAAGAGACCUCCAAAGAGGCACGCUGGCCCAGAGGAGGGUACGCGCCACUUCAAAAGCAAGGGCCAGCGAAGGAAAAGUUGUAUCCCAGGAGGAAGGUUUUGCUUCAAAAGUAGUUUUUAUGUGUGUGGCACGCAGGAUCUUAGUUCCCCAACCAGGGAUGGAACCCAUGGAAGUGCAGAGUCCUAACGCCUGGAUAGCCAGGGAAUUCCUAGGAACUCUAUUUUAAUCCCCAUGGACCCCUGCCCCUUGCAUUGGCUCCUCUGUCCAUGCCAGGCUCCUCUGUCCGUGGGACUUUCCAGGCCUGGAAGGACCAGCACUUCCUCCAAGAGUUUCUCCAUCACCUCCCUAUGUGGUCCUGAACCGUUCAAUUUCCUUGACGUCAGUUUCCUGGGUCAAGACAAUUUGUUCACGCUCUUCAACCCUCUGACUUGCUCUGACUGUGAAUAGCAGUGGCAACAUCACAGUGUCUCUGUGGGGCUAACAAUUGAGUUCCUGUUGGUGGGACUUCCUGGCGGUCCAGUGGUCAAGGUUCUGUGCUUCCAGUGCAGAGG